rnacentral:lncRNA from 1 species
CUUUAAACGAAAUUGUUAACUACCACAAUGGAAAAGACAUACGAAAAUUCUACCAACAGAUAAAUAGCUGCAGAAAAGACCUCAAACCCAGAAUAAUAGCCUGUAAAGAUAGAUGGCGAGAUGGAGGAUCCCAUGCUUCAAAUUAAUGAAGAUGAUCGGCAGCCACUCCCCACCGAA